UAGUUAAUAUUUUCAGACCAC
rnacentral:piRNA from 1 species